UACGGAGGGGGCUAGCGUUGUUCGGAAUUACUGGGCGUAAAGCGCACGUAGGCGGUUUGUUAAGUCUGGGGUGAAAUCCUGGAGCUCAACUCCAGAACUGCCUUCGAUACUGGCGAUCUCGAGUCCGGGAGAGGUGAGUGGAACUGCGAGUGUAGAGGUGAAAUUCGUAGAUAUUCGCAAGAACACCAGUGGCGAAGGCGGCUCACUGGCCCGGUACUGACGCUGAGGUGCGAAAGCGUGGGGAGCAAACAGG
rnacentral:rRNA from 1 species